rnacentral:lncRNA from 1 species
AUUUAAGUUGCCACCAAACUCUUUCAUAUUAAAUGACAUUCGAGGAUAAUACCUUCUCUUUAUUGACGAAAUGCCCCUGAAGAUGCUCUAGAUAGCGAAAGUAUACUUGUGCAAGAUUAAAUAAAUUCAGUGCUCGGUAUCUGCCUUUGCCUUUGUAAAA